rnacentral:lncRNA from 10 species
AUGGUGACAGGGUUGCUGUACGAAGUGGCCCUGAGGGGCUUGGCCACCAUUUCUGAGGGUGGGUCAGGCCUCCGGCCCACAGCGAUCCUCUGCCUUCCUGCGUAGUCAUGCCUGUCACUCAAGGAAAAACGUCCGGAUGACACGUGACACAGCACUGAGUGAUUCGGGUGACCACUGGUACCAGCCAAGGUGGAAUACGUGCACUUCCGUCUACCGUCCCACUGGGAACGCUGAAAACUCUGGGAGGAACAUAAAGAACAACUCCCUGAGCCCUCUAAAAAGCCAGCUCCAGCUGUGGAGCUGCACCACUAUGCUGCUGGUCCUGGUGCUGGAAGCCCUGAAACUUUGAUGAAAGACCCAACUCUCCAACCAGAGGAACUGGAAAUGGAGUGGGGUGAAUCCCUGUUUAUUUCUUCCUCUUUACUGUUGCCACUUGGCUCCAAAGAUGGCCCCAGUCAUGUGGAACUAUACAAUAGCACAAAGAAUUAAAAAGCUAAGAAAAACCUGAUUUUCUGGACAGAAGAAAACUGGAAAAAGAGCUCCAGCUGUUUUAAAAAUGGGGGGAUAAUCCCUGUUAAUUUU